UAACAGCUCAAAUUUGAAAUCUGGCUCCUUCGGAGUCCGAGUUGUAAUUUGUAGAAGAUGCUUUGGGUUACAGGUCCGGUCUAAGUUCCUUGGAACAGGGCGUCGUAGAGGGUGAGAAUCCCGUAUGCGGCCGUGACCCGUGCCCGUGUAAAGCUCUUUCGACGAGUCGAGUUGUUUGGGAAUGCAGCUCAAAAUGGGUGGUAAAUUUCAUCUAAAGCUAAAUAUAGGCCAGAGACCGAUAGCGCACAAGUAGAGUGAUCGAAAGAUGAAAAGCACUUUGGAAAGAGAGUUAAACAGUACGUGAAAUUGUUGAAAGGGAAGCGCUUGCAACCAGACUUGGGCGUCGUGGAUCAUCCAAGGUUUUCCUCGGUGCACUCGACGACGCGCAGGCCAGCAUCGGUUCGGAUGGCUGGAAAAAGGUCCUAGAAAUGUAGCUCCUUGCGGGGAGUGUUAUAGUCUAGGGCGCAAUGCAGCCCAACCGGACCGAGGACCGCGCUUCGGCUAGGAUGCUGGCGUAAUGGUUGUAAGCGACCCG
rnacentral:rRNA from 1 species